GGCGGUGCGCCUAACACAUGCAAGUCGAACGGUGAACCGGGCUUCGGCCCGGGGAUCAGUGGCGAACGGGUGCGUAACACGUGGGCAACCUGCCCCCGACCCUGGGAUAACCCCGGGAAACCGGAGCUAAUACCGGAUACUCUCCUCCGAUCUCAUGACCGGAGGAGGAAAGGUCCGCCGGUCGGGGAUGGGCCCGCGGCCUAUCAGCUUGUUGGUGGGGUAACGGCCUACCAAGGCAUCGACGGGUAGCUGGUCUGAGAGGACGACCAGCCACACUGGGACUGAGACACGGCCCAGACUCCUACGGGAGGCAGCAGUGGGGAAUCUUGCGCAAUGGGCGAAAGCCUGACGCAGCGACACCGCGUGGGGGACGAAGGCCUUUCAGGUCGUAAACCCCUUUCGGCAGGGACGAAGCGAUCUCGUGACGGUACCUGCAGAAGAAGCCUCGGCUAACUACGUGCCAGCAGCCGCGGUAACGCGUAGGAGGCGAGCGUUGUCCGGAAUCAUUGGGCGUAAAGAGCGCGCAGGCGGCUUGGCAAGUCGGGUGUGAAAUCCCGGGGCUCAACCCCGUGACUGCAUUCGAUACUGUCAGGCUAGAGGUAGGUAGGGGAGAUCGGAAUUCCUGGUGUAGCGGUGAAAUGCGCAGAUAUCAGGAGGAACACCGGUGGCGAAGGCGGAUCUCUGGGCCUUACCUGACGCUCAGGCGCGAAAGCUA
rnacentral:rRNA from 1 species